CCUACGGGAGGCAGCAGUGGGGAAUAUUGCACAAUGGGGGGAACCCUGAUGCAGCGACGCCGCGUGGGUGAAGGAGUAUUUCGGUAUGUAAAGCCCUAUCAGCAGGGAAGAACAAUGACGGUACCUGACUAAGAAGCACCGGCUAAAUACGUGCCAGCAGCCGCGGUAAUACGUAUGGUGCAAGCGUUAUCCGGAUUUACUGGGUGUAAAGGGAGCGCAGGCGGCGCGUUAAGCCUGGUGUGAAAGCCCGGGGCCCAACCGCGGGACUGCAUUGGGAACUGGCGCGCUGGAGUGCCGGAGGGGUAUGCGGAAUUCCUAGUGUAGCGGUGAAAUGCGUAGAUAUUAGGAGGAACACCAGUGGCGAAGGCGGCCUACUGGACGGUGACUGACGCUGAGGCUCGAAAGCGUGGGGAGCAAACAGGAUUAGAUACCCGAGUAGUC
rnacentral:rRNA from 1 species